rnacentral:lncRNA from 1 species
CUACAAAUUUUGUUAAAAUGGUGCCUUUUACAGAAAAUGUAACUAUUUGAAUCUACAAUUUAAAUCCAGGGGAUGCAACCAACACUGUAUUGCCAUAGAACUAUGAAUGGUCGUGGAGGUGGAGAGAAAGAACAGCAACCUACAUGAGAAUGUAUCAAGCAGAAGAGCAGCUGAUCAGACUGGAGAGAAGCAGAUGUGACAUGAUGUAGUGUUGCUUUCCAUGCUGAAGAAAUCCUACCUGGAGAGUUUCUUGAACAACAGAUCCAGCUGGGAUAUUGUGAAAACAGUUAUUCUGACAAGAUUUUAACUCAAAAAGGUUUCAUUUCUUCAAUCUGUCUUUGGAAACAAGAAAAGCAUCCUUUGGAACACCACGGAUCUCAGCAAUGAACCUUGGUCAAGCAAAGCAGUGAGUAAUCAAGGACAAAAUACACAACACCAGUGUGUGUAUGCAAACUCACCCUCUGAUGGCAACUUCUGUCAUUUAUUUAUCAGUAGUAUUCCUACUGUAAGGAAGUGCACUUUACGAGUAUUGUUGUCAAUGUAUUGUGGAAAGCAAUGGUAAAACAGAAGGACAAGGACCAUUGUCUUCAGCUGCCUAGAAUGUCUAAAUGAGAUAUUUUUAGUCAAUUGGAAUCUAAAAUGGCUUGUGUAUUAGUCAAGGUCAUUUUUUUGAACUUGUCUGAUGCACACAAUGAAGCUCCUGUAUUAAAUGCAAUUCAGCAUAAUAUCCCUAAUUUAAGAUGUAGACAAUUAUGACAGAUUAACCAGAGAUAAUAGCUGUGAACCUGAUUCUUUAUUACCUGGAUCAGUGAUGUUGGAAGAAUAAAUGGAAGGCAUAAAUGAAAUAAUCUGUUGCC